AACUUUCAACAACGGAUCUCUUGGCUCUGGCAUCGAUGAAGAACGCAGCGAAAUGCGAUACGUAGUGUGAAUUGCAGAAUUCAGUGAAUCAUCGAAUCUUUGAACGCACAUUGCGCCCGCUAGUAUUCUAGCGGGCAUGCCUGUUCGAGCGUC
rnacentral:rRNA from 1 species